UAACAAAUGUUAAUAGAGUGGUGUUAGCAAGUUGAAAAAAACAGAAAGCUUUUUCUUUCUAAAGAAGCAGUCACCUCAGUGCAAAAGAAGGGAGCGAGAGUUUGAGUUCAAAGAAGGAAACGUAAUGUGUCUGUGCUUCAGAAAUUGGCCAGUCAUUAGUGGAGCUCUCAGAACUCUGGCGGAAGUGGUGUUUGCCGAUGACUCAGGCAAGCCACGCAUUUGAGUUUUUUUCUCUCCAGUCUUUAUGUGCUCACCUCCCCCUGUCAACCACUGCUCUCUCUACAUUCUAUUCAUUCCUGCUUUUUACUCUGGACAUUCAUUUUCUGACUUACUGUCUGACCCAACUCCAUUUCUCCUUUUCCUGUGAUUCGUUUGACCUUUGGGUGAUUUUCUUUGAAUGUUUUAUCUUUUUUUUGUCUGUCUGAGUGAGGUUGACUCUCAGCAAUGUGAGUGGGAAGAUGGCAUGCUUCCUUCAUGAUUAAAAUAUUCCCUCUCUGCUCUUUUUCCUCUCUCCUCUCUCUGUGUCUGCUUUCAGUAUUCUUUGAAGACUUUCUGAUGAAGAGGAGGAUGAAGGGGGACCCACUGGACCUCGACACAGGAUGGAAAGACAUCUUCACUACAGGACUAAAAAACUGGCGUUCGCAACAUUCGCCCAAUCAGAAAGGAGGUGGGGAAAUCGCCUGAGCGGAGCUUAUUUGUGCGGCUGCUGCUGGAUUCACUUGGGAGGAUGACAUCACCGUCCUGGCUUGGGAAGGCGUGUCACUGCAGGCCGUGGCGGCGGAGGAGCGAGGUGGUGUUGUGUUUCGCGGUUCGCAGCAGCUGGUUCUUGGUAAACUAUAUUUGCUCCGUGAAUCGGCCUCAGGGAAAAGAACAAAGUGAAGACGCCUUAAGGCCAGUGAACACGAUUUUAUCCACACAUCUCCCCAGAUGACAAGAAAACACUUUGAAGAAGUGAAAGAUGCAGCUAAUUCGCCAGGGGCUGAGAUUUUGGCGGAUUCUCUCAUUUUUUUCUUUUUUUUUAGUGUGAAUAAACUUCUUAAGUAAAAGUCCCAUCUUAAAAAAAGAAAAUUAAUUAUUUGAUUACCUGAAAACUUAUUUUAAAAUAUAUUUUUAGAAUUGCAAACAUCCACAACAGAUAAUUUAUAAUAAUGUUUCAUUUAUUAUUGAGUUUUCCUACAGUUUUUGCUUGUACUUAAUGACACAAAUGAUUAAAUGUUAUCCAUCGACUGUUGAAAGAAAAUGUUGAAAAAAGUAAAGUCCACUGUUUGGUAUUUAUUAAAAAAUGUCAUUUGAAACAGUUUGUGGUUCUAGUGCUUAUUUUACAUCACCUGAAGUGAGAGGAAAUAUUCAUUAUAUUAUAAAUUAUUCAUAUAUUUUUACGACGUAGAACUCUAAAACUCAACAGUUUUGUGAACAGAGAUUUCACAAACAAGAUUUUUUUCCUUUUUAUUUAAUUUAUUUGCUUUGAAAUAUCCAGA